rnacentral:rRNA from 1 species
AUUGAACGCUGGCGGCAUGCCUUACACAUGCAAGUCGAACGGCAGCACGGGAGCAAUCCCGGUGGCGAGUGGCGAACGGGUGAGUAAAGUAUCGGAACGUGCCCAGUCGUGGGGGAUAACGUAGCGAAAGUUACGCUAAUACCGCAUACGAUCUAUGGAUGAAAGCGGGGGAUCGCAAGACCUCGCGCGAAUGGAGCGGCCGAUAUUAGAUUAGGUAGUUGGUGGGGUAAAGGCCCACCAAGCCGACGAUCUGUAGCUGGUCUGAGAGGACGACCAGCCACACUGGGACUGAGACACGGACCAGACUCCUACGGGAGGCAGCAGUGGGGAAUUUUGGACAAUGGGCGAAAGCCUGAUCCAGCCAUGCCGCGUGCAGGAUGAAGGCCUUCGGGUUGUAAACUGCUUUUGUACGGAACGAAAAGGUUUGGCCUAAUAAGCUGAGCUCAUGACGGUACCGUAAGAAUAAGCACCGGCUAACUACGUGCCAGCAGCCGCCGUAA